rnacentral:lncRNA from 1 species
CAAAUCUCUCUCUUUUCUUUUACUUUUUUAAACAAAUCAAUUACUUUUAUUUGUAUAAAAGCAAAGGAAAAGAAAAUUGAAUCUUUCUGGUCUCUGUAUUUCUUUUCUAUGUCUGGAUUUUUUUACAACUCUGUUAAUUAAUUAUGUAAAAAACAAAGACAAAUCUUAAUCAAUGUAUAAAAGGAAAAAAAAAAUCUUGGCAAAAAAAGAGCGUGAAAAGAUACUGAAAAAUAGGGAAAAAAUGUUUUUUUUUUUUAAAGCUAGAUUCCGAACCGGCCGGUUUUUUAAAACCGCCCCCGGUUCGACGGUUUGAGCGGUUCAGG